rnacentral:rRNA from 1 species
GGUUAGUGCGGGCAGGCAGCGGCGGUAGUACGUGUGGGGCAAGAAGUAAGUGGAAGGAGGGGGCAGAAGUCGUGGGUAGGGGGUGGGUGAAGGUGGUGUGGGAAUCCGCGGGAUGAACGGGGGAAUGGCAGUGGAUAGUGGGGAGGUAGAGGGGGAUAGAGGGUAGUGGAAUUCCCGGUGUAGCGGUGAAAUGCGUAGAGAUCGGGAGGAACAUCAGUGGCGAAGGCGGACAUCUGGAUCAACACUGACGCUGAGGCACGAAAGCGUGGGGAGCAAACAGGAUUAGAUACCCGUGUAGUC